rnacentral:rRNA from 1 species
CCUACGGGCGGCAGCAGUCGAGAAUCAUUCACAAUGGGGGAAACCCUGAUGGUGCGACGCCGCGUGGGGGAAUGAAGGUCUUCGGAUUGUAAACCCCUGUCAUGUGGGAGCAAAUUAAAAAGAUAGUACCACAAGAGGAAGAGACGGCUAACUCUGUGCCAGCAGCCGCGGUAAUACAGAGGUCUCAAGCGUUGUUCGGAAUCACUGGGCGUAAAGCGUGCGUAGGCUGUUUCGUAAGUCGUGUGUGAAAGGCGCGGGCUCAACCCGCGGACGGCACAUGAUACUGCGAGACUAGAGUAAUGGAGGGGGAACCGGAAUUCUCGGUGUAGCAGUGAAAUGCGUAGAUAUCGAGAGGAACACUCGUGGCGAAGGCGGGUUACUGGACAGUAACUGACGCUGAGGCACGAAGGCCAGGGGAGCGAAAGGGAUUAGAUACCCUGGUAGUC